AAGCAAAGGGACACAAGAAGCAAGCAGGUAUAUCCAUUUUAAUAUCUGAGAAAAUGUGCUUCAAUUCAAAACUAAUCAUAAGAUAUGGGGAAGGACACUACAUACUCAUCAAAGGAAAAAUCUACAAAGAGGAUGUUACAAUUCUUAAUACAUAUGCACCAAUGCAAGGCUACCCGGGUUCAUAUAUGAAACACUACUAUAGUUAUAAUCAAAUAUUAAUCCUCACACUGUUAUGUUGAGAGACUUUAGUACCCCACAUUCACCAGUAGAAAGAUCAUUCAGACAAAAACAAAAAAGAAAUGCUGAAACUAAAUAAGAUCAUAAGUUAAAUGGACCUACCAGAUAUCUAUAGAAAUUCCCACUGAGAUACUAAAUAUACCUUAUCCUCAGAAGCCCGUGAAACUUUCUCCAAACAUCAGUAUAUAAAGUAAAUCUCAAGAGACAUUUUUAAAAGCGAAAUAAUACCCUGCAUCCUAUCUGAUCACAAUGGAUUAAAGCUGGAUAUCAACAAUAGAAAUGGCAUAUCUUUGUCUGGGCCAGGUCAGGAAUCGUUGUGCUGUGUCUUUAAGGACAGUGUAAUCCUAUGGGAGGUGAUCUUGUCAAUCAGGCCUCACUAGCCAAUCAGGCCCUCCAGGUGACCUGUCAGUCACAAGAGUACAGGGCUCUUCCUGCCGGUGGCAGUUUCAGGCUUGUCUCUGAAAAGGAGCUAGCUCCUUUGUGUGUGUGUGUGUUCUGUGCUGUGAGCACUGCUACAGGGAGCUGAGUGGAGAGCUUGGAAAUCCGGGAAACCAAGACAUGGAAGAGUGGGCUUUGCUGGAUCCUUCCCAGAAGAAUCUCCAUAAAGAUGUGAUAUUGGAGACUACAGGAUCCUUACUGCUAUAGUUUAUUCUUGGGUACUUUACAUUUGUGGUACCAGCACCGAUGUCCCCAGGAGCCGGGGAGAUGAAAUGCCAACUCAAGGGAUCAUGCAAUGAGCUACUACAUCUGCUGUUCCCAAUGUAGAACACUUGCCAAAGCAGUGAAAGAGAGAAACCUCUCACAUUUGAUUGAACUACAAGAACAAACAGGAAAAAUGGAUGCAAGACAAGGACAGUGCUCUGAAACCUUCCUAUGCAGCGAUGUCGUCAAAGACUUCAACCAUGAAGAAAAGAGACCACAAAAGGUAGGGUUGCAAAAAGGGGAUGUUGAGAUUGAAGGAUUAGGGUUCGGGUUCGGGUAUCAAGGUUCGGGGAACAAGGUUCGGGUUCGGGGAUCAUGGUUCAGGGAAAAGGGUUCAGGUUCGGAUUUGGGGUUAGGGGUUAGAGGGUUAGAGGGUUAGGGUUAGGGUUAGGGUUAGGGAUAGGGUUAAGGGUUAAGGGUUAAGGGUUAAGGGUUAAGGGUUUAGGGUUUAGGGUUUAGGGUUAAGGGUUAGGGUUAGGGUUAGGGUUAGGGUUUAGGGUUAGGGUUAGGGUUAGGGUUAGGGUUUAGGGUUUAGGGUUAGGGUUAGGGAUAGGGGUUAGGGUUAGGGUUAGGGAUAGGGGUUAGGGGUUAGGGUUAGGGUUAGGGUUAGGGUUAGGGUUAGGGUUAGGGUUUUUAUGGGUUAGGGUUAGGGUUAGGGUUAGGGUUAGGGUAGGGGUAGGGUUAGGGGUAGGGUUAGGGUUAGGGUUAGGGUUAGGGUUAGGGUUAGGGUUAGGGUUAGGGUUAGGGUUCGGGGUUCGGGGUUCGGGGUUCGGGUUCGGGGUUCGGGGUUCGGGUUCGGGGUUCGG
rnacentral:lncRNA from 1 species